GGUCUGGUGGUCUAGUGGUAUGAUUCUCGCUUAGGGCUCACCCUGAACUGAGGCCGUGGGAUUAAAUCCCGCUGGUCGCGAUUUGCGAGAGGUCCCGGGUUCAAUCCCCGGCCAGACCC